GAGUUUGAUCCUGGCUCAGGACGAACGCUGGCGGCGUGCUUAACACAUGCAAGUCGAACGAUGAAGGGGAGCUUGCUCCUUGGAUUAGUGGCGAACGGGUGAGUAACACGUGAGUAACCUGCCCUUGACUCUGGGAUAAGCGUUGGAAACGACGUCUAAUACCGGAUAUGACCUGUGACGGCAUCGUCUGCAGGUGGAAAGAAUUUUGGUCAAGGAUGGACUCGCGGCCUAUCAGGUAGUUGGUGAGGUAACGGCUCACCAAGCCGACGACGGGUAGCCGGCCUGAGAGGGUGACCGGCCACACUGGGACUGAGACACGGCCCAGACUCCUACGGGAGGCAGCAGUGGGGAAUAUUGCACAAUGGGCGAAAGCCUGAUGCAGCAACGCCGCGUGAGGGACGACGGCCUCGG
rnacentral:rRNA from 1 species